GUUGGGCAGUCCGUCGCUUUUGCUUUCGUGGCAAACGAGGAAAGUCCGGGCAACAUAGAGCAUUCCGCUUCUUAAUGAGAAGUCAUUCGUGAGAGUGAAUCCGUGCAGAAGAAAAUAACCGCCUCGUGUUCCGCAAUUGGGUCGCAAGGUCUUCGGCAGUCAUGUCGCAGUGGAGCUAGGGGUAAGGGUGAGAAGGUGGGGUAAGAGCCCACCAGUCGUGUGGUGACAUACGAGCUGUGCACCUCGGAAGUUGAAAGUUCAUGUAAACUGGUGUCAUCAGGGCGGCUCGUCCGAGUGCUUUCGGGCACACAUCAGAGGGUAGAACGAUAGAGUGCACUGGUGACAGUGCAUCCAGAUAAAUGACGGACACCUUGUCUUUCUUUUUAGGACGAGGCACAAAACCCGGCUUAUCGCUCAACUGC
rnacentral:RNase_P_RNA from 1 species